GGAGACAUACCCAAGUCUGGUUGAAGGGAAUUGUCUGGAAGGCAGUCAGACGCGCAAGCGUGCGGGGGUUCGAAUCCCUCUGUCUCCGCCA
rnacentral:tRNA from 1 species